UACAGAGGGUGCGAGCGUUAAUCGGAAUUACUGGGCGUAAAGCGCGCGUAGGCGGCUUUGCAAGUCGGGUGUGAAAUCCCCAGGCUUAACCUGGGAACUGCAUUCGAGACUGCAUUGCUAGAGUAUGGGAGAGGGAAGUGGAAUUUCCGGUGUAGCGGUGAAAUGCGUAGAUAUCGGAAGGAACAUCAGUGGCGAAAGCGACUUCCUGGACCAAUACUGACGCUCAUGUGCGAAAGCGUGGGGGAGCAAACGGGG
rnacentral:rRNA from 1 species